rnacentral:tRNA from 1 species
GCUUUUAAAGGAUAAAAGUAAUCCA